rnacentral:tRNA from 1 species
GGGUUGCUAACUCAACGGUAGAGUACUCGGCUUUUAACCGUCUGACUAGUUCCGGGUUCGAAUCCCGGGCAACCCA